CACGCGCGCUCCUGCUCUCGGACGCGCGCAUUGCUUCCUUUGGGGCUGGAGUUGGGAUGGGGGGAGGGGGGAGCGGGGGAGAGGAGGUCCCUCGUGCCCAGAGGGCUUAGGUAUGGGCUCCAGGCGGUUGGUGCAGGAACUGCCACAGCCCUCUUUGGGCACAGGGUUCAGACAGUACGCCGGAGCGAAGGGGCGCCACUACAACCUCUUGAGGUCCUUAUCCAGGACCCAUGCGGCCCGGAGUGCAAAGCCUCCUGGCGAAGAACAGCAAGAGCCCGCGGAAGGGACAGCGCGGAUGGCCCGAGCCCUGGACCUGGGGAGCUGUGGCCUCAAGUGGACCGCGCCCCCCUGCCGGCUUGGCGCCUGACCGGGCCGCGACCCCAGACUCCCGCGGAGGGGCCGGGGCAGGGACGGAGCAAAGCCGAGAGGAGCAGGACUCACUAGUCCCCCAGAGGACCAAGACCCCGGCGUUUCGGGUUUACCAAGCACGGCCACAUCCCAGUCUACUUUGAGCUUCACAGCCACCCUUGAGUCAGGCAAGGAAGGUAACAUUCCUUUUCCCAUUUCAGCAGGUAGAAAAUUCAAGCUCAGAGAGGGGAGGUAUCUGCAGAGAGGGGAAGUCACCCUGCAGGUAGGAAGCAGCAGAGUCCCUACUCGGCCCGACACGCUAGCACGGCCGACUGGGGCGCGGCGUGGAUUCCUCUAGGCUGGGGUCACCAACUUCUCAAGGGGCAAAGGAGAGUCCUAGCCCCCGCCCAAAGAAUUUGUGCCUGUUCAUGAUGAAUCACGCUAGACACGUUUGUCACCCGUUUGUGCUCUUUCAUCACAGCUUCUUCUCUUUCUUACUUCUCUCCUGGGGGCCAAACUGGGAAGGAAAGGCUAAGCCACGGGGCUUCCUGCUUCGUGCUUGUGGGUUUCUGGGGUCCUACUAACCACUCCUCUAAUCGAAUGUCCUGAAGCCCAGCGACUCGACGGAGAGGCCAAAGGUGCGAGACCACUAGCCAAACAGGCUUCUAGUCCUCACCUCCCGGCAAUUCGCUGUGUGAAGGUGGGCGAGUCAUGUCCCAUCUCUCGAGUCCCCAUCUUAGAGCCGGUCCCCAGCAGACCUUUAAGCUUCCUUCCUACUCUGCCAUAUGGCUCUGAGCUCCGGUGCAAAGGCGGCUGGGCAGUGGGUCGCGCGGACCUUGCCCAGAGUGGUCUGUCUGGGCCGCGCACUGCUGGCUUAGCUGCCUUUUCACUCUCGGGACUCAACAGUGGACAUUGCACCUGGGGAAGAAAUGGCCGCGCGGAAGUUAUUUAAGGACUCUUCCUGGAAGGAGUCACCUGAGCGGACCUGAAUUCCAUCUGAGGACGGAGGACAGAUUCCGGGCCCUGACCCUGGCCCUGAGAUGUGGUUUCAUCAUGUUGCCCACGCUGGUCUUGAACUCCUGAUCUCAAGAGAUCCACUCGCCUUGGCCUACCAAAGUGCUAGGAUUACAGGUAUGAGCCACUGUGCUCAGCCAAGAAGCAAUUCUGAUUUAUAAGCCUGAAUGAAUUGAUAGUUUUUUCAUUCUUUCAACAAAUAUUUACUGAUUAUAUAUUAUAUACCCAGCACUGUGCUAAGUUCUCAACAUACAGUAAUCACCAAUGCAGUCAUCAACAAACUUACCCUCAACGAGCUUACAGCCUAGUGACGUAGCCAGAUAUAAACAAAUCCUUAUCAGAAUUAUGUAUUUACAUGAUUAUAAACUGUGUUAAGUAUUCUGAAGAAAAAGCAAGACUAGGGGGAUCUAAUAUUCGAAAUGGAGGAAACAGCAUGUGCAAACACUCAGAGAUGGGAAAGAACUUGGUACAUUAGAAAAAAUGAAAGGAGUCCUGUUUGAUAGGAAUGCAUAGAAUGAUAGAGAAAAGAGGCCUGAAAUGAGAUUAAAGAGGUCAUCAGGGUCAGAGUAAAUAGGACCCUUUCCGACAUGAAGAUUUUGCACUUUAUUUAUGGUGACAUGGAAAACUAUUGACAGGUUUGAAGACAGGAGAGACAUGAUCUGAUAUACAUUUAUUUAAACAAUCGUUUUGGCUAUGGAAUGUGGUAGAUAGAUUAGAAAGGUGCAAGAAAGGAAGCAGCACGGUGGUGGUACUCUGGAGAGACUGCAGAGAGUCUAGUCCCCCCAUAACAUUUAUUAUACCCCCUCCCCACAUACACAUACUCAUUCCAUCCUAAAGUUCACCAGCUUCACUGACAUACACUCUGUUCAGUAGCACACGGCCUGCUCUCAGAAGAGCCCACACUUGGUGGAAUGCUCUGCUGAAGCUGUUUUGAAAUUCUCCAACAUUUCUGAACAGGCAGUCCUACAUUUUCAUUUUGCACUGGACUCCACAUAUUAUGUAGCCAGUCCUGCUCAUCAAACAUGUGAUCUAAGUAAAAGUAGCUUGUAAACUCUUACAGUACCUAUAUAUACUGUAGCUGCUAAUGUCAGGGGUACUUCAAAUGAAUGUUAAGAUUCAACCAUUCAUCUCAUCACACAUGGACCGCAACUGCAGGACACUUCCUUUUUUUUUUUUUUUUUUUUUGAGAUGGACUCUUGCUCUGUUGCCCAGGCUGGAGUGCAGUGGUGCCAUCUCGACCCACUGCAAGCUCUGCCUCCUGGGUUCACGCCAUUCUUUUGCCUCAGCCUCCUGAGUAGCUGGGACUACAGGUGCCCGCCACCACUCCUGGCUAAUUUUUUGUAUUUUUAGUAGAGACAGGGUUUCACCGUGUUAGCCAGGAUGAUCUCGAUCUGCUGACCUCAUGAUCCGCCCAACUUGGCCUCCCAAAGUGCUGCGAUUACAGGCGUGAGCCACCACACCUGGCCAGGACACUUUCUACGUCAUCUAUGAAGCCUUUUCUUUGCACCCCAAACACACACUCAAGGUAGAAAUGGUGUGUUUGCUAUACAAAUUUAAUUUUGAGACAGGUUCAAUAACCUGCUUACUGUCCUUAACUUUUACCUAUAUAGAAAGUUUGAAACCAUCGGUGAAGCUGGGAAAACAGUUAAGAACCUAUUGCAAUAAUAAAGGUAGAAGGUGAUAACGGCUCAAACUAGUGGGGUGGCAGUGAGGGUGGAGAGAAGCGGACAUAUUUGGGAAGUAGGAACAAUAGGACUGAGUGAUGAAUGUGGGGCUGAGAGGCAGCUGUCAAGGGUAAGAUUCAUUAAAUUUCUUGCUUAGGGAACUAAAUGGUUGAAAAUAUAGCAAUGGAUCAGGGAAUUUUCCACCACAGCUGCAUAGUCUCCUUUGUUAUGCUUUGGUAGAGACGAUCUGAAGAGGCCUCAGCCCUGCCUGGUGAUGUUUGCUCAAGUCUGACUCUCAUACUGCCUCCUUGAACUACUGUGGCUAACCACAGCAAGCACUUGAAAUGACUGUACAGAUCAAACCACUUACUCCGCAAUAGCCCACUAGGGGCAAUGGGCUGAUAAGCCUUGCUCACUGAUAAUUAGCUCUAUUUUGUCUUUUUUAAAAUUUUUUAUUUUAAUUUUUUGAACGGGAGUUUCACUCUUGUUGCCCAGGCUGGAGUGCAAUGGCGCGAUCUUGGCUCACUGCAACCUCUGCCUCCUGGGUUCAAGCAAUUCUCUUGCCUCAGCCUCCCAAGUAGCUGGGAUUACAGGCACCUGCCACCAUGCCCAGCUAAUUUUUGUGUUUUUAGUAGAGACAGGGUUUCACCAUGUUGGUCAGGCUGGUCUUGAACUCCUGACCUUAGGUGAUCCACCUGCCUCGGCCUCCCAAAGUGCUGGGAUUACAGGUGUGAGCCACCGCAUUCCAUCUAUUUCGUCUUCUAAAGCAAAAAAGAAAGGUAUCUGCCACAUACACAUCAUGAUAGUGUUACAUACCCUUCUUCCCUUCCUGCUCCCAUCAGCCUUCAGGAAAACAAAUCUGGGCUUGCUUUACUCUCUCUCUCUUUGGUGAAAGGUGAUGGUGGUUAUUGUAGGGGAUGGUCUGGCUUUCAGCCAACCUCAGUAAUCAGGCUGCCUUGUCAGGGCUUAUCAGUUUCAACAGGCUGGCAGCUGUUGGCUGAGAAGCAAAGCACAGCUUUAGUGUAUACAAAAUAUGUUCACAUGUAUAUACAAACACACAGUGCCUUUCUACAUGUACCUAGGAUAUGUUAAAAUCUCUGUGUGACAAAAUGGGCAUUUGCAAAUGGACUGGAAGUCUACUUAUGACAGUAACAGAUGAAAUAUGCCUAAAAGCAGAAUAGCAUUUGAUUCUAGGCUUAAAAACAAUAAACUUUGAUUUUAAAAAAUUAAAAUAAUUUAAAUGAGUACUUGCAAAUGAAAUAAAAGCCAAGACAUUUAAAAGGUAAAACAAGACCCCUUACCACUACAAAAUUAACUCAAAAUGGGUCAAAGUACUAAAGAGCUAAAACUAUGAAGGAAACCAGUAAAUCUUCAUCUCACCUUUAAUAUGGCAAUAAUUUUUUAGAUAUAACACUAAAAGCAUAGAAACAAACUAAAAAAGUGGACUUUAUCAAAAUUAAAAACUUUUUUGAGCCAAAGGACAUUAUCAAGAAAAUGAAGUCUGGGUGUGGAAGCUCAUGCCUCUAAUCCUAGUACCUUGGGAGGGCUAGGUGGGAGGAUUGCCUGAGGACAGGAGGUUAAGACCAGCCUGGGCAACAUCAUGAUACAACAUCUCUACAUAAAAAUAAAAUGAAAAAUAAAAUAAAAAUAGGAAAUAUUUGGGGGGGGGAAUAGGGCAUAACAAUUUUAAAAAGAAAAUGAAAAGACAACGUACAGAAUGGGAAAAUAUCUGCAAAUCAUAUAUCUGACAAGGACUAGUAUCCAGAAUAUAUAAAGAACUCUUACAACUCAACCUCAAAAAGACAAAGAAUCAAUUAAAAAAUGGGCAAAGGACUUGAAUAGACAUUUCUCCAAAGAAGAUUUAGCAAUGGCCAAUAAACACAUGAAAAGAUCCUCAACAUCAUUAGUCUUUAGGGAAAGGCAAAACAGGACCACAAUGAGAUAUCACUUCACACUAAGAUAGCUAUAACAAAACAUAAACAACAGGAAAACAAGAGUUGACAAAGAUGCAGAGAAAUCAGAACCCUAGUGCAUUGCUGGUGAAAAUGUAAAAUGAUGCAGCCACUGUGGAAAACAGUAGUAACAGAACUACUUAAUCCAGUAAUUCCAAUCCCAAGAAUAUAUCCCCAAAAUUGAAAACAGGUACUCAAAUACAUGUACAUGCAUGUUUGAAGCAGCACUAUUCACAAUGCCAAAAGGUGGAAACAACCCAUAUGUCCAUAUGGGUUGUUCCAGAUAAACAAAAUAUGGUAUAUACAUAUGAUAUGGUUUGGCUGUGUCCUCACCCAAAUUUCAUCUUGAAUUGUACCCCAUAAUUCCCACCUGUCAUGGGAGGGAUCCGGUGGAAGGUAAUUGAAUCAUGGGGGCGGGUCUUUCUCCUGCUGUUGUGGUGAUAGUGAAUAAGUUUUAUGAGAUUUGAUGGUAUAAAGGAGAGUUCUGCAUAAGCUCUCUUGUCUGCCGCUUUGCUCUCCUUGCCUUCCGCCAUGUGGAACUGUGAGUCAAUUAAACCUCUUCUCUUUAUAAAUUA
rnacentral:lncRNA from 1 species